AGACAGACUGGAUCAGUCUGAUUUUACGUACAUCAGAAACCAACCUAAACAAGAGCAUAAGCCCCCCACCAGCACCCGGCAGUCCAUCAUCUCAGAGAAGAAUGACGCUACACUCCCAUACCACUCCUCCUACGCAUCCCAGAAUGCUUUAGGGCGUGGCGGUGACGGGGAGCUGCUGUCCUUCAGUCUGGACAACACCUUCAGAGAGAUGAACGAGUUCCAGGAAGACCCAUCCCUUUUCCUGGAGGAGGGGAGCUGGGAGGGGGAGGAGUCGGAGAUCUGUGACCCCACCUUGACCCUGCUCAACAUGCAUCACUUUCAGGAGGAGUUCCUGCCCCUGUAUGACCUCCACCACUCAUUCCUCUGGCUGACGUUCUCAGGGCAGAGUGAGGAGGAGUUACUGGGCCACCUGGAGAUUG